rnacentral:rRNA from 1 species
AACAGCCGCAGUAUACCUAACUGUGCAAAGGUAGCAAAAUAAUUUGUCUUUUAAUUGGAGACUGGAAUAAAAGGUUUGACGAGGAAAUAUCUAUCUCAAAAAUUUAUUAUAAAUUAACAUAUAAGUAAAAAGGCUUAUAUAUACCAGCAAGACGACAAGACCCUAUAAAACUUUACCUUUUAAGACCAAAUCCUAGAAUGUUUCAAACAAAGGGUUUAACUGGGGCAGUAUUUAUAUAAUUUCUAACUAUACAAAAUUUACCAUUCAUAAAUGAAAUAAAUAAAUCUUACAUAAAACACAAAAAAAAGUUACUUUAGGGAUAACAGCAUAAUAUUCUUAGAGAGUCCAUAUCGACAAGAGUGAUUAUGACCUCGAUGUGAAUUGG